UAUAAAGUCUAACCUGCCCACUGAUAAUUAUUAAAGGGCCGCGGUAUUUUGACUGUGCAAAGGUAGCAUAAUCAUUUGUCUCUUAAUUGGAGGCUGGAAUGAAUGGUUGAAUGAAAUAUUAACUGUCUCAUUUUUAAAAUUUUAAAAACUUAGCUUUUAAGUCAAAAGGCUUAAAUGAAUUUAGAGGACGAGAAGACCCUAUAGAUCUUUAUAAUUUAUUUAAUUUUAUAAAAUAGAAAAAUAAUUAAUAGAAUUAAUAUAAUUAUUUUAUUGGGGUGAUAGGAAAAUUUAAUAAACUUUUUUUAUUUAUUAACAUUGAUUUAUGAUUAAUUGAUCCAUUUUUAGUGAUUAUAAGAUUAAGUUACCUUAGGGAUAACAGCGUAAUUUUUUUAGAGAGUUCUUAUCGAUAAAAAAGAUUGCGACCUCGAUGUUGAAUUAAAGGUUAUUUCUAGAUGUAGCAGUUUAGAGUUUAGG
rnacentral:rRNA from 1 species